rnacentral:rRNA from 1 species
UACGGGGGGGGCAAGCGUUGUUCGGAAUUACUGGGCGUAAAGGGUUCGUAGGUUGCCAACUAAGUCAGACGUGAAAUCCCUCAGCUUAACUGGGGAACUGCGUCCGAUACUGGAUGGCUUGGAUUUGGGAGAGGGAUGCGGAAUUCCAGGUGUAGCGGUGAAAUGCGUAGAUAUCUGGAGGAACACCGGUGGCGAAGGCGGCAUCCUGGACCAAUAUUGACGCUGAGGAGCGAAAGCCAGGGGAGCAAACGGG